rnacentral:rRNA from 1 species
GACGAACGCUGGCGGCGUGCCUAAUACAUGCAAGUCGAACGCAGUGGGGACGGGUGAGUAACACGUGGGUAACCUCCCAUCAGAGGGGAUAACACUUGGAAACAGGUGCUAAACCGAUACUGAUGGAUGGACCCGCGGGGCAUUAGCUAGUUGGUGAGGUAACGGCCCACCAAGGCGAUGAUCAGUAGCCGGUCUGAGAGGGUGAACGGCCACACUGGGAAUGAGAAACGGCCCAGACUCCUACGGGAGGGAGGAGUAGGGAAUCUUCGGCAAUGGACGAAAGUCUGACCGAGCAACGGCGCGUGAGUGAAGAAGGUUUUCGGAUCGUAAAACUCUGGUGUUAGAGAAGCGGUAUCUAACCAGAAAGCCACGGCUAACUACGGGCCAGCAGCCGCGGUAAUAC